CCCGUACCAUCACCAAAGUUAAGCAACGUUGAGCCUGGUUAGUACUUAGAUGGGCGACCACUUGGGAAUACCAGCAGCUGUAAG